rnacentral:rRNA from 1 species
AUACGUAGGGAGCGAGCGUUGUCCGGAAUUACUGGGUGUAAAGGGAGCGUAGGCGGGAGUGCAAGUCAGAUGUGAAAUACAUGGGCUCAACCCAUGGCUGCAUUUGAAACUGCAUUUCUUGAGUGAAGUAGAGGUAAGCGGAAUUCCUGGUGUAGCGGUGAAAUGCGUAGAUAUCAGGAGGAACACCGGUGGCGAAGGCGGCUUACUGGGCUUUUACUGACGCUGAGGCUCGAAAGCGUGGGGAGCAAACAGGAUUAGAUACCCUGGUAGUCCACGCUGUAAACGAUGAUUACUAGGUGUGGGGGGACUGACCCCUUCCGUGCCGCAGUUAACACAAUAAGUAAUCCACCUGGGGAGUACGGCCGCAAGGUUGAAACUCAAAUGAAUUGACGGGG